UACGAAGGGGGCUAGCGUUGCUCGGAAUCACUGGGCGUAAAGCGCACGUAGGCGGAUCUUUAAGUCAGAGGUGAAAUCCCAAGGCUCAACCUUGGAACUGCCUUUGAUACUGGGGAUCUCGAGUCCGGAAGAGGUGAGUGGAACUGCGAGUGUAGAGGUGAAAUUCGUAGAUAUUGGGAGGAACACCAGUGGCGAAGGCGGCUACCUGGACCGGUUCUGACGCUGAGGCGCGAAAGCGUGGGUAGCAAACAGG
rnacentral:rRNA from 1 species